ensembl:miRNA
UGUCCUCUGGGGACUCAGCUCGCUGUGGCUGCUGGAUUGAAUUAGCUGCGGGACCAAGAUGAGCCCUUGGUGGAGACA